rnacentral:piRNA from 1 species
UCNCAUGUUAUAUAGUGCUUAAGAUAGU